rnacentral:rRNA from 1 species
CACAGCACUGUGCAAACACGAAAGUGGACGUAUACGGUGUGACGCCUGCCCGGUGCUGGAAGGUUAAUUGAUGGGGUCAGCCGCAAGGCGAAGCUCCUGAUCGAAGCCCCAGUAAACGGCGGCCGUAACUAUAACGGUCCUAAGGUAGCGAAAUUCCUUGUCGGGUAAGUUCCGACCUGCACGAAUGGCGUAAUGAUGGCCAGGCUGUCUCCACCCGAGACUCAGUGAAAUUGAACUCGCUGUGAAGAUGCAGUGUACCCGCGGCAAGACGGAAAGACCCCGUGAACCUUUACUAUAGCUUGACACUGAACAUUGAGCCUUGAUGUGUAGGAUAGGUGGGAGGCUUUGAAGUGUGGACGCCAGUCUGCAUGGAGCCAACCUUGAAAUACCACCCUUUAACGUUUGAUGUUCUAACCUAGGCCCAUAAACUGGGUCGGGGACCGUGUCUGGUGGGUAGUUUGACUGGGGCGGUCUCCUCCUAAAGAGUAACGGAGGAGCACGAAGGUUGGCUAAGCAUGGUCGGACAUCAUGCGGUUAGUGCAAAGGCAUAAGCCAGCUUGACUGCGAGAGUGACGGCUCGAGCAGGUACGAAAGUAGGUCUUAGUGAUCCGGUGGUUCUGAAUGGAAGGGCCAUCGCUCAACGGAUAAAAGGUACUCCGGGGAUAACAGGCUGAUACCGCCCAAGAGUUCAUAUCGACGGCGGUGUUUGGCACCUCGAUGUCGGCUCAUCACAUCCUGGGGCUGAAGUAGGUCCCAAGGGUAUGGCUGUUCGCCAUUUAAAGUGGUACGCGAGCUGGGUUUAGAACGUCGUGAGACAGUUCGGUCCCUAUCUGCCGUGGGCGUUGGAAGAUUGAGAGGGGUUGCUCCUAGUACGAGAGGACCGGAGUGAACGCACCACUGGUGUUCGGGUUGUCAUGCCAAUGGCAUUGCCCGGUAGCUAAGUGCGGAAGAGAUAACCGCUGAAAGCAUCUAAGCGGGAAACUUGCCUCGAGAUGAGUCUUCCCUGUC